rfam:Flavobacterium fryxellicola strain DSM 16209 FBFR10, whole genome shotgun sequence.
UUUUAGCCCUGAUGGCAGUGAAAAUCCUCCCGCUUUUUAGCGGGAGAUUGCAACGCACAGCAGGAAUAGCU